UGGGGAAUAUUGCACAAUGGGGGGAACCCGUGAUGCAGCGACGCCGCGUGAAGGAAGAAGUAUCUCGGUAUGUAAACUUCUAUCAGCAGGGAAGACAAUGACGGUACCUGACUAAGAAGCCCCGGCUAACUACGUGCC
rnacentral:rRNA from 1 species